rnacentral:rRNA from 1 species
CUAUGCGCCUUGCCAGCCCGCUCAGUCAGAGUUUGAUCCUGGCUCAGAAUCAACGCUGGCGGCGUGCCUAACACAUGCAAGUCGAACGCGAAAGCCCCGCAAGGGGUGAGUAGAGUGGCAAACGGGUGAGUAACACGUGGGUGACCUGCCUUCGAGUGGGGGAUAACGUCCCGAAAGGGACGCUAAUACCGCAUGACAUCCUGCCUUUGGAGAGGCGGCGAUCAAAGCUGGGGAUCGCAAGACCUGGCGCUUGAAGAGGGGCCCGCGCCUGAUUAGCUAGUUGGUGGGGUAAUGGCUCACCAAGGCGACGAUCAGUAUCCGGCCUGAGAGGGCGGACGGACACACUGGGACUGAGACACGGCCCAG